rnacentral:misc_RNA from 1 species
GGGGUGCACUGUCUUUCUCUAUAAUCACAAAUCAAUUGAAUCUUUUCUGUGCUCUGUCAUCAAUUACCUCAACUUCCCGUAGACAUUUUUGUCCUAGUCAUGUACUAGUUCUAGCAAGAGCAAAAUAGAACCACACAAUCAGUAUUGCUGAACAUACUCAAUUGUCAUCUCAGAUGGAACGUAGCUGUCCAAUCUUUUGCAUGUAGGCCAUUUAUGUCAUUAUCAAGAAAAUAUACAUGUACAUCUCUUCAAACUUAGUGAGGGGAGGUGAAACUAGGGUGCCCCAUCAUUUUUUGCCAGAAGUGGGGAGAGAAUACAUACUUCUG